UACGUAGGAGGCGAGCGUUGUCCGGAAUCAUUGGGCGUAAAGAGCGUGUAGGCGGUCCGGUAAGUCCGCUGUGAAAGUCGGGGGCUCAACCCUCGAAUGCCGGUGGAUACUGUCGGGCUAGAGUGCGGAAGAGGCGAGUGGAAUUCCUGGUGUAGCGGUGAAAUGCGCAGAUAUCAGGAGGAACACCUAUUGCGAAGGCAGCUCGCUGGGACGUAACUGACGCUGAGACGCGAAAGCGUGGGGAGCAAACAGG
rnacentral:rRNA from 1 species